AGAGUUUGAUCAUGGCUCAGAGCGAACGCUGGCGGCAGGCUUAACACAUGCAAGUCGAGCGGGCGUAGCAAUACGUCAGCGGCAGACGGGUGAGUAACGCGUGGGAACGUACCUUUUGGUUCGGAACAACACAGGGAAACUUGUGCUAAUACCGGAUAAGCCCUUACGGGGAAAGAUUUAUCGCCGAAAGAUCGGCCCGCGUCUGAUUAGCUAGUUGGUGAGGUAACGGCUCACCAAGGCGACGAUCAGUAGCUGGUCUGAGAGGAUGAUCAGCCACAUUGGGACUGAGACACGGCCCAAACUCCUACGGGAGGCAGCAGUGGGGAAUAUUGGACAAUGGGCGCAAGCCUGAUCCAGCCAUGCCGCGUGAGUGAUGAAGGCCCUAGGGUUGUAAAGCUCUUUCAGCGGGGAAGAUAAUGACGGUACCCGCAGAAGAAGCCCCGGCUAACUUCGUGCCAGCAGCCGCGGUAAUACA
rnacentral:rRNA from 1 species